UAAGUAUAGAAUUUACUUUCCCUGGGCUCUGUCCUAGUGGCGUAUGGGAGCUUAGGACACUGUCUGGUGAUGUACAGUCCCUUUCUACAAUAUUGGAGAUAAAGCUGGACUUUGAGUCCGUGCCUGCAUAUUCCUACAACUUCUCAGAGUCCCACGGAUAAUAACUGAGGAGAUAAAUCAUGCAGGAAACAGUC